CUUAAGCCAUGCGAGUCGAGAGGGGUAGCCCUCGGCGCACUGCUCAGUAACACGCGGACAAUCUGCCCUCGAGACGGGGAUAACCCCGGGAAACUGGGAAUAAUACCCGAUAGAUCUGAGAUGAUGGAAGGCUCCCAGGUCCAAAUCCUGCGGGGCUCGAGGAUGGGUCUGCGGCCUAUCAGGUAGUAGGGGGUUUCACGGACCCCCUAGCCGAAGACGGGUACGGGCUUUGGGAGAAGUCGCCCGGAGAUGGAUUCUGAGACACGAAUCCAGGUCCUACGGGACGCAGCAGGCGCGAAACCUCCACAAUGUGGGCAACCACGAUGGGGGAACUCCAAGUGCCUACACUAUGUGUAGGCUGUUCUCGAGCCUAAAAAGCUCGAGAAGUAAGGGCCGGGUAAGACGGGUGCCAGCCGGCGCGGGUAA
rnacentral:rRNA from 1 species